AGAUGCGAGGCCCAUCUAGCUGCAGCAUCUGUCACCCCAUUGAUCGCCAGGGUUGAUUUGGCUGAUCCGGCUGGCUAGGCGUGUGUCCCCUUACCAAUCCAGAUGCCUCUCUCCCAAAGCUGCGCCCUCAGUCAAAGAGGACAACCUUCCCUCCAGAGGAUAGGUCUUCGAUCAAGGGUAUACGAGUAGCUGCGCUCCUCUGUUAGAACCUCCAAACAAGCUCUCAUGGUCCAUUUGUAGGAGAAUGUAGAGUAGUCAAGCUUCCAAGACCAGGGACAUCCAAAUGAGGUGCUGCACCUGGCAGUCUGCUUUCCUAA
rnacentral:snRNA from 1 species